CGGACAUUCCCGAUGGUGUUUUCUUUGAGUGUCGAGUGUGAAGUUCAUUGUUUGUGUUGCAUGAUGAGUUACUUGUUUACGGCCUAUUCCAUAAGAUUUUUGUCUUAUGUUAAAUGUGAUGCAAGCGCGCAUGAUACAUGCUCAUGUUAUGAUGGGUUCUCAAGCUUGUGUUUGUGUCAACAAAACAGGCAACAUCUAUCGCUUCUUGCUCCUCAGGCUCACCUUGUGGUGCCGGUCCUCCUCUGCAUUGCUGCUGUGCCAGCCCUUCAUCCUCGUGGCCUCCGCUGGCCUCUGUCCCCAUCCCUCCUCUGCACCAUACAAGGUGGAAAAGGAGGGAGCAAGCUGGAAUCAUUGAUAAAGCGAUAACAUACAAGGCAUUUUCUUUUGUUUGGGUCUGAUUGUUGCGGCUCUAGGUUUAUUACCAUAGUUGCUUCUUUCGGCAAAGUAUCGAGCACCUCCAUGCCUCCCUCCCCAUCAAGCAUGACCAAGGC